GGAGGAACAACGCCAGACGUUUGCUGCUGGCAGCGAGAGAAAAUCUAUUCAUCUGAGGCCACUGAAGGUCCUUGUUGUAGGUGCUUGGGAGUCCUUUGAGAACCAUGAGAAUAGCAGCCAGCUGCAGAGAGAAACAGCAGGCUCACCCGUCCGAACACGCGGCCAGCUUUGCUGCGGAUCAGUUCCAGGCUAUCGGGGUUCUUCUUCUGAGGCAUCAGGCUGCUGCCAGUGCUGAAAGAAAAGUGUGUGCAGGGUAACGAAGACCCUGCUGCUGCCCUGGUUGGCGUCAGUCAAAGAGCAAGCCUAGAAGUCUCCUGCCCGUGCAAGACCAAGGCUGGGGGAUGUGGAAAAGGACUUACAUGGCAGCGCGUUCCACCAGGGUCUUAAUGAGCUGCAGGAGUGUGCAGCUUUCCAGCUAUGUCUCCAAUCAGCUCCUGAGGACAAGAGGAGGAUUUCAAUCAGUGUCUCUGUAUCUAAAGAGGAAACUCCGCCUGAGCAGACCUCCUCCCUGCCUGGAAGGGACUCGGCUCUAGGAUCCUGAAAACAAACCAAGUAGUGAGAAGCACCCAAAGGAGCCUGGCAGGUUGCGGAGCUGGGGUUACCAUGCAGUUGAGUUCGCAUCUACUGGAGCACCCCGAGACCACCCCACCAGAGAAGCAAAGUUCGCCCUCACCUCGGCUGCCAUUUCGGACGACGUUUUGCUCGUUUGUGCAGCGAUCCUGGCAACUGGUGCAACCUGUGGAACAGUGAGGUGAGGUCAGGCUUUGCCUCCGGUCCUGGUGUCGGUGCCAGUCCCGGUCCUGCUCCCCGGUCCCGCUCCUGGUGCGGAACGAGUCCCACGUCCCCGGCGCCCACCCGGUCCCGCUCACCUGCUCGGCUGUGCAG